AUACGUAGGUGACAAGCGUUAUCCGGAUUUACUGGGCGUAAAGGGCGUGUAGGCGGUCUUGCAAGUCAGAAGUGAAAUUCCUGAGCUCAACUCGGGCGCUGCUUCUGAAACUGCAGGACUUGAGUGCUGGAGGGGAUAGCGGAAUUCCUAGUGGAGCGGUAAAAUGCGCAGAUAUUAGGAAUAAAACCGGUGGCGAAGGCGGCUAUCUGGACAGUAACUGACGCUGAGGCGCGAAAGCGUGGAGAGCAAACAGGAUUAGAUCCCCUGGUAAUCCACGCCGUAAACGAUGAAUACUAGGUGUAGGGGGUAUCGACUCCCUCUGUGCCGCAGUUAACACAAUAAGUAUUCCGCCUGGGGAGUACGGCCGCAAGGUUGAAACUCAAAUGAAUUGGCGGGG
rnacentral:rRNA from 1 species